ensembl:lncRNA
GUGAACUCUCCAAGGUCCAGGCUUCUUCACCAGCUGAAGUUUUAAUUGUCUUGCUUAACACAGAAGCAACCAAUAUGAGCAUCAGCUGUGGGGUAAAUUUGUGGUCCCUGAAAUAUCCUGGUGCUACCUCCUGAGAGCACUCUUGUGUCAUGCUGCCCAAGUAACCUUCAGCUGCUGCACAGAUGGUCAUUAAAGAGUGGAUAUGUUCCCUGAAAAACUGGAAGAGGUCUCACAUCAGGAUCAGCACCCUCAUUAGGACAGUGAUUGAUGGAAGAAGAAAUUAUGCUUCUUUUCCCACAUCUUCUGCUGACACAAGAAGGAAAUCAUACUGAGACCAGGCCAGAGAAGCCAGGAAACCAUGCUGAUCUAUCUAAAAAAUCAGGAGGUAGUUGACUCAAACUGACUGUUACAUUCGAGUUUGUUUUCCUGUUGUGGCCCUGAACUUUGUAAAGUGGUACAACUCUUGAUUCACAGGUGUGCACAUAUAAAAUUUGAACCAGAUUGGUCCUCAGGGUUUCUGAACAAGAAUGGUAUGGAUGACCAGUGGGUGUUCAUAGCAGAAGUAGAUAGAAAUAUUUUCAUCAACUACUUUUCAUGUGCUUUCAGUUCAUCCUCACUCCUAACUAAAUGCCAAUAUGCUGCCUGUAAAAUGAGUGUACGUGAAAGUUCAAGACUUCAAACAGACUAAGGAAAAAGUCUUCCACUGUUGCCUGCUGGAGAUUUUUUCAGAGAGACUAAACUGUUAAUUGCUUGUUAAGUUUGUCCUGUCUUCAUUUGCACUCAUGCAUUAAAAUGAGAGAGGAAGCCAUCAGAAUAUGAUGUUCCCAAUCUGAUUCCAGAUGACUUAAUGGAUAGGCUGAAAACCAGUGAGAGCGGGCUCUGAGAGUAGGAGACAAUAAAUACUAUUUGUUCAUUAAAUAGCCUGGGGUCUCAUGUUGUAGCCCAUUACCCGCUGACGACUUCUAUCAGGCUCUGAGAUGGGAGGUGAUGAUGCUGUAUGCCUGUUUCCACAUUGAAUUGAGAAUCCUACCCUUACUCCUGCUUCAAACGAUGAGGGAAGCACACUGCCUGUAUACUGCUCACCCCUAUAAUCUUUUCUGAGGUGGAUCUGGAAGGUUGCAUGUAGCAUGAGUCUGCUGGGAACAACAGCAUGCAGAACACUUCAUCCCAGCUGUGCUGGUUAGAGGAGAAGAGUGGUGAAAGAUGAAAAGAAUGAGAAAAUGCUUGUGGUUUUGUUUUGUUUUGUUUUAUAAAUGUUUGUUUUUAAUUACCAGCCUACAGGAAAAACUUUAUGCAAAAUAUUUUUUUUCCUUGUUUUCUUAAACUCCCUGGUGACAUCCAUUGAUGUGGUGGGCUAAUUGCUGCAGUGUACUAAUGUAGGAUACAAGUCCACAGAAUCCAAGCUUCUUCAGGAAAAUCAAUUCGGGAAGAAAUUCACUCUCCACACUGUCUGGAAGCCAAAGAGGGCAAGGCAGGCCAGGCCACCUGAGCCGCUCACCCUGGAGAUGAAGGCUCUGCUUACAAGACCAGUUAAUGAAUAGAACUCAAGUCCAUUGUGUAUGUCUUAAUUAGAUUCAGAAUAUCUGAAUUUACCAUUGUCAGCACGAGACAGCACUAAACAGCAGCUAGUGGCUCCAGCCAUUGAGGAUUAGAAGUGGAGGAUGCUGGCAAGUCCUUCAUGAGACUGCAAAAACUGCUAUGAACUGGUUGGAACACCUCUCCUAUGAAGAAAAACUGAGAAAGCUGAGACAGCCUGGAGAAGGCUCAAGGGGAUCGCAUCAGUGUGCACAACUGCUUGAAGGGAGGAUGCAAAGAAGACAGAGCCAGGCUCUUUCCAGUGCUUCCCAGUGGCAGGACAAGAGGCAAUGGGCACAAACUGAAACACAAGGGGUUUCCUCUAAACAUCAGGAAGCACUUCUGUACUGUGCAGGUAAUGGAGCACUGGCACAGAUUGCCCAGAGAGGCUGUGGAGGCUCCUCCUUGGAGAUCUUCAAAAGCCGCCUGGAUGUGGGCCGGGACAAUCUGCUUGAGCAGGGAUUGGGCCAAAUGGACCCAGAGGUUCCCUUCAGCCUCAACCCUUCUGUGAUCUUGUGUUUACUUUCAUUAUUACUAGCUGACAAGUAGUGCUUCUAAAUGCCUUAAAAAGUUGAGGAAAUUUCACAAGAUUUUAUUUAUUUGUUUGUUUGUUUGUUUCUUUUGCUGUCUUUGCAUGGCAAAGACUUUCCUUUACUGGUAUUCUGACAAGAGAAAGUUCAGGCUCAAGCUGCUGGAUGUAUGUUUAUAUUGUCUUCUCAAUUUGUUUCCUGUGUUUAACUGUAGUGAGAGUUUUUUGAGGAUAGAGGGGUCUGAUCAUCACUUACUUUAAAUUGUAUAGUGCCAUUACUGCCCUAUAUCUGCUCCCUAGAGUCUUAGUACUAAACUGAAAUGUACUUAUUUGCAGCCAUGCUAGAUUCCAUUGUCAUAUCUUAAUGUAGGAUAAUACUGUAAUUCAUUAAUAUUAUGUUCUUUAAUGAGGCCUGUGACUCUGUGUUUUUAUAUAGGAAUUUGCACUUGUGAUUUUCUUUGCUAAUUUAAGUACAUUGUCCACCAUCAACUUAAAAUCUAGUAUCAAUUUAAAAUUAGGAAAUGAUGAGUCCUGUGAGAAACAUCCCUUGCUUGUUAUUCUCUCAGGAUUACAGUGUGUGAGAAGUGUUCCAUGCUGCUUUUUAAUUCCUGUUUGUUAUUGAUUGUUUUUAGUUUGCAGUUUUACUUUUUGGUUCUCUGAAAAGUUCAAAGCUCGUAACUGGUAACAAAUGGGGCAAAACUAUUUAAACUUUCAUGUCAGAAAUUACACAAAAAGCCAAACGCAAGUGCUCUUAAAGUUUUGUUUACUUCUCAUGCCCCAUAUUAAUUGCACAGAUUCUCCUAUUGCCUCAUGAAGAACCGGAUCCUGGUUACAGCUGGGCAUUCAUUAGCAAGCAGAUCACACACACAGCUGUACAAUAUAUACAGACCUGAACUACAGUCUCCUCAACUGGUGAACACCCACCUCUGCCACUGAGCUCUGUGGAAAAUGAAAUCUAAAUUCAAGAUCAUAGAGGAACUUGAAGAAGGCAGAGACCAGUCAGGAAAGAUAAAAGCAACUGGAUUAUCGUAUUGGCAUUUUUUGGAACGUUGAUUUUGGCUGGUUAAUUUUCAGAUAAUUAAAGAUGUAGUCAGGUCUAGGGAUUUUAACAAGGCCAAGAAUUGGCCAAUGUUAGUGCCUUUCUCACAGCAUGAGUCCUUGGGCAUACCUCCUGUUGAUACAAACAAGCAAUUGAUCCUGAGCAACCAGAAACACUUAACAACUGAUAACAGUUGCUUAUCUGGUACUAUCAUCUGAGUUUCUCAGUUUCCAUUGCAAGCAAAUUUGGAGCUUUGUGGUACUGAUAGCAUUGUAGAACCGUUCUACAGCACGCCAUCCUUGCAGUAGAUUUGUUGAAAACCAUCUACCAGCUGAUAGGAAUCAACUGUUUGUUUUGAGAUUGUUUCAGGGAAGAAGUUUUUAUUAGCAAAACUGACUACAGCCAACCUCAUUUUCUCUCUCUGGCAGCUUGUUCCUAGCCACAACUUAGAGCUUGUCUUGGAAAUAUUAAUGCAGUUGAAUUUUGCAGUCGUGGCUGCAUAGUGAAACCAAGGAAAGAUCUCACUUCUGGUGCAGUCUUGUCAAUAUCUAACAGCUACAAUGAUCGUUUAUCAAUAAAAAGGAAAGUUUGAAAGAUGUGUGAUGUUAGAAGGUUAAUGAUGUGAGACUCAAGGAUGCAGACUGUAAUCUCGUUAGUAUGCUAUUAUGGCAAUACACAUUCAUAAUUCAGAGGUUUGAUAUACUUGGUGUUGAUUAAAAGAAUUAAUCCAGCCAGCUCACUGAGGGCAAUGUGCUAGCUGGCAGGCACUGGUAAACAACAAGGCAGAGCAGUGUAAUCACCUGUAAGGAUAAAUACAGGUGACGCAUUCACAAUAGUAGAAAGUAGAUGCCAGGCAGGCAGCAAACACUGCCAUUGCCUAUUUCUGGCCUGCUUGGACAAGCUGUGGGGAGGAGGAUCCACACUAGCAUUUGGAAGGGCAAAGAAAUCAAAGGACCAGGGACUCCCCAGUGAAGGAAGAGACAUUUCAACAGCAAAAGAAAAGAAAGGUUUGACAGGCAUGGAAAGUAUUGGUGAGAGAACCUUUAAUUGGAGGAGGGAAGGAAGAGUCAAAAGAAGCUGAAAGCUACAGCGUUAAAAUAAAGCAAGAGCAAUCCAAACCAGAAAGAUGUGACACUGGGAGAAAGGUCUUUUCAUAGACCAGAGUAUAGAAAUGCUUAAUAUCAGUGAAGCCAAACAUUUAGUAUGUAUCAUCACGCGCAACGCUUAUGAAAAAAAAAAAAAACUUAAUUAACUUUCCUGUGUUCCAUUCUGGUUCUCUGUUUCUCCUUGUAAUCAAACACGGAUUAACUAAUGAAGAAUAUAUAGCCUGCAAGAUAUUUCUUCUGCAAACAAUACAUUCCAUUUUGAUUCAUUAAUGGCUUUUGGAUGUACUGAAGUUUAUCGGCAGAUUUACUUUUGGUCCCCAACACUGGCUUGCACUGUUGCAGGUAAAUUAUAUUCUAACAACAGACUUUUUUCAAAAAGAAAACUUUCCAGCAGUGUGGCAGCUGUACAAAAGCCCUUGUAUUUUAUUGUCAAACUAGACAUGGUAAGAACGUAACAGCAGUGAAAUAGAGGAUGUUAGCA